rfam:Myotis lucifugus cont2.59682, whole genome shotgun sequence.
AUCGCUUCUCAGCCUUUUGGCUAAGAUCAAGUGUAAAAAUACAUCUUUAUUUUAGACUGUAUUUUCAUACUGAUGUUUUGAUGAUGAAGUCUGACCUUAAUAAUACAUAGAUUCUGCUUCAAAUAAAAAUAAUGCCCGACCCCUGAAGGGCAGUGAAAGGAAG